GCAUUGAUGGUGUAGCGGUAACAUUGGGUCUUCCCAUUUAAUGAUUGGCCUAGCUCCGGGUUCGACUCCCGGUCAAUGCA